rnacentral:lncRNA from 1 species
UGAAAUCAAAUGACGACAUUAUUUCACAUUAAUUAGGUAAUUUCAGUCAACAUGUUUGUUAUUAUUCUUUCGAGAAUUAGCAAGUGUUGUCGGCUAGAUUCUUCUCACAAUUGACGAGGUUUUUAUUUUGAGAAUUAAGACUGAAAUUGAGCAUUCAUCGGUGUAGAUUCUUUUGAAUUUCACUUCCUCCCUGAGUUUGACUUAGUUUUCCACUGAUC